UACGAAGGGGGCUAGCGUUGCUCGGAAUCACUGGGCGUAAAGCGCACGUAGGCGGCUUCUUAAGUCAGGGGUGAAAUCCUGGAGCUCAACUCCAGAACUGCCUUUGAUACUGAGGAGCUUGAGUCCGGGAGAGGUGAGUGGAACUGCGAGUGUAGAGGUGAAAUUCGUAGAUAUUCGGAAGAACACCAGUGGCGAAGGCGACUUACUGGACGAUUGUUGACGCUGAGGUGCGAAAGCGUGGGGAGCAAACAGG
rnacentral:rRNA from 1 species